GUGGAAAUCUCUAGACGCUUAUGGUUAUUUUUUACCCAUUCCAACUAAGCCACCUGAUCAACUUAUGAAAAAGGGAAGAGUUCUUAACCCCAAACUGUCCUGCCAGUCUCUAAACUAGUUUCAAUGGUUAUCAGAAACCAGCAGCAUAAUGGGUCAAUUUCACAGAUCAUUAUCCAAGAACUAGUGGAACCUCAAGAAUUUAGUUGCGGGCAAGAAUACAAACUAUAUAUAUAAUUUAAGAAAGUUACUGGCAUUGAAAAUUGUUGAGCUUUGGUCAGAAUUACCUGAAAGGAAAUAAGAAAUGGCCUUUGCUAUAUAGCAUUACUUGUGGUAGUAAUUAGGAUAGCUUUACUGUUUGCUUAGGAAUUUUAUGAGGCCUGACUAAAGGUAAGAAGAACAUAAUUUUUGCAGGGUGCCCGCCAGAGCCGUGAUUUUAUAAGUCCACCAUCAGGCAGAAUAGCAAGCAUAAAUAGUCUCCCUAGAAGAUUUCUGGUCAUUCCAGUUUGGCUAGACCAAUGUAAAGAGCUCCUUUUUCUGUUGGGUUUCUCUAGGCAGUCUGGACUAAGACAAGCACAGGCCAUGGCAGCUGUGCAGAUGAAGGCUGACUGCAAGCUAACACAAGAAGACUAUGAUUUGGAAGUUGCAAUGGAGAUAUUAGAAGAAACACCUAGAUACUUCACUGGAAGUGCUGCAAAAAUGACAGCAUAAAUUGUGCAAUUUCACAACCCUCCAACCCCCCCAAAAAACCUACAAGCAUUUAAUGGCCUUAUGACUAUGCAUGUGACAUGUAUACUUUAUUAGAGGCAUUUCUCAGUUUCCCUCAUCUAAGCUGUUAGGAUUGUAUAAGACUAAGUCAAAGCUGAUCCUCUUUCUAAACCCACCUCUCCCCACAGCCCAAAAUGAUCCUAACUGCCCAAGGAAAAUGGGAAUAUUGAGCUCUCCCAGUAGCUGUAUUCAUGGGAGCAGCACUUUUGUACUUUGCAAGACCAGAUUGGGCUCCCCACCUGCAUUGGUGACCCAUUUAACCGGACUGAUUUUACUGCUUUGUCAAACUUAUUGGGCAUGAAAAUAAAGUCUGCUCUACAGAAGUAAACA
rnacentral:lncRNA from 13 species